CCUGUCCCCUCCCCACAUCUACUCCCCAUCCCUGCUCCCUUUCUCACCACUUCUCCUACCCAGCUCCCUCCUUCCCUUCACCUCCGAUGUUUAUUUUAUUUCUCUUUCUGAGUGAGAUGCAAGCAUCCUCCUUUGGGUCCUCCUUGUUACUUGACUUCUUUGGGUCUGUGGACAAUAGCAUGGUUCUUAGAUGGGAGAGACAUGUAGUGUAAGAUAAGGCAGGUGUUUUAGGCCAUCUGGAACCCGCAUAGCAAUCUGUCCAGUGCUUUUCUGCUCUUGGUAGCUUAGCUUGACCUGGGCUUCCAACUUAGCUUGCUGCCUGCUGGCCUUGUGGGCAGUGCUCAGCUCUGGGUUUGACCUGAGGGCUGGCCCCUGACUGUAUCCUUUCAAGCUACAUGGCCGGAUAAUCUACCAAGUCACUUUAGGUCUGAGCGUUCAGCAUCUCGGAUGAUAGUCACUGGUCGAUAGAGCCGUGGUAAGGCUCCAAUGACCCAUCCCUGUGGAUGCAGUGCAGGGCACACAGCCAGGGCUUAAUAAUUAGAUAUUAGGAUGCUUAUAGUAGUAAGUCUUUAUGCUCCUUUUCACUCUGUGGAUGGAUUUUCUUCACGCCAUCGGACACAAGUCCAGUUACCUCCCAAUGCUGAUCUUACUUUUGGAUCUAUAAUGUCCCACCCCAAACCAGAUUAGAUACAAUUCAGUCUCUAUGCCCAAUUCCCAGAGAAAAAACUUUCCUCCAACUGUCAAAAGGCAGGUGACCUCGUCCACAGAGAGUUAAGCUGUAUGUAUGAUGUCUUAGUUACAGUUUGUUGUUGUGAUAAAUGUGACCAUAACAACUCAGAGAGGAAAGAGUUUAUCUUACAGUUCCAAUGCAAGGUCUAUUACUAAAGAAACUCAGGGCAGGAACAUGGAGGCAGGAAGUGAAACAGAGGCCAUGGAAGAUCACUGUUUACUGUCUUGUUCUCUGAGACUUGCUCAGCCUGCCUUCUUAGAGCAUCCAGGACCACCAGACCACAGUGAUCUGGGCUCUCCCACGUCAAUUAUAAAUCAAGAAGACACACCACAGACUUGCUCACAGGACAAUCUGGGGAGGUCAUUUUUUUCAAUUGAGGAUCACUCUUCCAAAAAUGACUCUAGUUUGUGUCGAGUUGACAUAAAACCAGUCAGCAUAUGUGGGGAGGCCAUGGAAACUCAGAGGUGACGGUGAUGGGUCAGGAGUGUUAGCAGAUGAGGAUAAGGGGAGCUUUGGCAGGAGGAGGAGGGAAGGUAUGAACAGGGAAAAUGAAGCAGGGUAGUGUUAGCAGAGAAGUAAUGGGGGGCUGUGGGGAGGUGUUUGCAGAAGGAAGAAAAUGGCAUGGGGAGGGGAUGGUGGAGGUGAUGGGAGGGAGGGGUGAAAGUUUGACUCUUCAAGAAAAAACAGUUGGCUUUAUGGGCUGGCCAAUCUUCCUGCAAUGGUGGAGCCCAGCAGCUCUGCCGUUUGCACUGUUUUGUGGUGGUUUGAUAGUCGCUGUGAUCGUCAACUUUGCUGGUCAACCUGAUAUGGGCUGCCCAGAUAGCUCACAAAACAUGAUGUCUGGGUGUGUCUGUGAAGAUGUUUCCAGAAAGAUUAACACUUAUGUCAAUAGACUAAAGAAGAUAUGCUCUCGCUGGCAUGCACAGCAUCAUCAAGUACACAUGGCAUCACCCAACCCAUUUCAGGCCUGACCAGCACAAAGAGACAGACAGCACAGCUCCUGGAUUCUGGGCCUUUUGCAGUGGACUCAUUACAACCCUGUCUUUCCUGAGCUUCUGGCUCAGAGGUAAUGGACUAUGGAACACUCCAGCCUCCAUAAUUAUUGACACCCUCAUCCCAGUGACAUCACGAGGAGGGAAAUCCAAUCUUAUUCUGCAGCCCAGAGCUCAGCAGCUCAGUGGAAUGAGAUGACAUGGACGAACUGGAGCAAUUUAAAAAGAAUAAAGCACCCUCCACCCCCUGCAAUACAUCUCUGUACCUCACCAUGAAGGAACUAUUCAUUUAGGGGGUGAGGCUAUCCCAGGAACAGAAGUGACCAUCCUGAAGGACCUGGAUCAUUUCCUGAAGUGAUGAGAGGUAAUAAGGACUUCUUUCAUCCACCCUGCUAUACUGGACGAGAACUGGGAUAAUGGCUUAGUCAUACCACAGCUUGGCUGGACUACCUGACUGUGCACUCUUCUGUCCUAUCCCAACAGCCUGAGGAUGGAUUUGAGCCUCUGGUUCCUUUUAUUUGCUUUUCUGUGUGCAACCUCCCUGAGUGUUCUAUCACCUCCACGUGCAUACCAUGCACACACACAUACUUGUACAUGCACACACUGGGGAACUGUUCUAACUCCUUUGCUAUUCAUUGGCACAUUGAGACAGAGACUUGGGGUGGGAGGGAAAGGAGGAAGAAAUGUGGGGUGUCCUGUGUUUUUUCUCUACAGCACUGGUUACAUGUGAUCUGUUGAAAAUGAACAGAACUCAUAUGUCCCAACUCUAAGAGUAAGAAGAUGGGCAGAAAAGCCAGCUUUGGGUUGUAGUUAGAACAUUCUAGAUGAAGUUGCAGAAUGUCUAUACUGGUGUGUCACUGAGAUACUGUGGUAUCAUUUCUCCCCUACUCCCCAACAAUAUGUGACAUGUUAUUGAAGACACUCUAUCUACAGAAGUGUGGGUAGGCCAGAAAGAUACAUCCCUUUAUUAAGAGUCAUCCUGAGAGAAGGUGGAGGGAGGGGCAGGAAACAUGUUUCACAAGAGGGGCAGUCGAAACCAUAACGGCUGUAACAGACACGUACGCCUACAUUCUUUAUAUUUUAACAUACAGUUUUAAGAGAAUAAAGGGUGGGGGCUGCAUGUGGUGGCUCACACCUGUUAUUUCAGCAAUUUGGAAGCUGAGCCAAGGGGGAUCAUGGGAGGUUUGGGGACAGCUUAGGUUAUGUAAUGAGUUCCAGGCUGAUCUGGGAUAUAGAGUGAGGGCCUGCUGCAACCAACCAAAGAAAACCAAAAUUGUAAAGGAAAUAACUUUUAAAAAAUUUAAAGGGAUAUUUCAAUAACUCACUAGAGGGCUUUCCUUAGACAUUGUAAUUUUUAAAAAUUCUAUCCUAAUUAGUUUAUUUUGUGUAUGUUUCUAUGUG
rnacentral:sRNA from 1 species